AUUGAACGCUGGCGGCAGGCCUAACACAUGCAAGUCGAGCGGAUGAAGGGAGCUUGCUCCUGGAUUCAGCGGCGGACGGGUGAGUAAUGCCUAGGAAUCUGCCUGGUAGUGGGGGAUAACGUCCGGAAACGGGCGCUAUUCCGCAUAAGGUCCGAGGGCGCAAGUGGGGGGUCUUCGGAACUUACGCUAUCCGAAGAGCCUAGGUCGGAAUAGCUAGUUGGUGGGGCAAAGGCCUACCAAGGCGACGAUCCGUAACUGGUCUGAGAGGAUGAUCAGUCACACUGGAACUGAGACACGGUCCAGACGCCUACGGGAGGCAGCAGUGGGGAAUAUUGGACAAUGGGCGAAAGCCUGAUCCAGCCAUGCCGCGUGUGUGAAGAAGGUCUUCGGAUUGUAAAGCACUUUAAGUUGGGAGGAAGGGCAGUAAGUUAAUACCUUGCUGUUUUGACGUUACCAACAGAAUAAGCACCGGCUAACUUCGUG
rnacentral:rRNA from 1 species